AAUGAACGCUGGCGGCGUGCCUAACACAUGCAAGUCGGAUGUGCCGCAAGGUGCAUGGCAGACGGGUGAGUAACGCGUGGGGAACCUACCUCUUUGUGGGGAAUAACGUUCCGAAAGGAAUGGUAAUACCGCAUGAGACCAUGGGCUGGGAUGCUGAUGGUGAAACCCGGGGACCGUAAGGCCUGGGGCAAGGAGAGGGUCCUGCGUCUGAUUAGCUAGUUGGUGGGGUAAUGGCCUACCAAGGCAUCGAUCAGUAGCCGGCCUGAGAGGGUGAUCGGCCACACUGGAACUGAGACACGGUCCAGACUCCUACGGGUGGCUG
rnacentral:rRNA from 1 species